GUUCCAGACUCCAUCCAUAAUACAAUCACCGGGAAAGAGAGCACUGUGGGCACGAGGUAAAUCUUCAAAUCUUUACAGCUUUCUUGAGCAAACAUGUAUAUUAUAGUUUUUAAUAUCUCUCAAAAAUGGAUGAUGAUUAAUGCUACUUACCAACAGUUUUAUAUGCUACAUUUUACCAACUGCUGCCAUCUAACCGAAUUUAAAACAUGCCUUACCUAUGGGUAAAGAGACAAAGUCACGUUAACACAUGAAAGCUGUCCAUAAAUAUUAUAAUUAGAAAGAUAGACUGGCUCCCUCACUUGAAACUGAUCUGCUUUUUGUCUCAACAAAUACUAUUAAAAAUUAAACAUGGAUUCCCCCAGGACACACUGGUUAUACUGGCUAGGUACCGUUCCUUCGGCCCAUGGACUGUAUAGUGGAGAGUAAUGAAUGGAAUGAGGACCAGGAUAUGAACCGUGACGGUGUACUGACCACUAACCGGGUGACCUAUUUAAUUUCAAUGUGGUCAGGUUUUUUAUUUUAAUAUAAAAGCCACACAAUAUAAUAUUUUUUUGGGGUCAUUUUUGUAGUUGAAGAAAGAAGAUUGACCUGACCCUAACACACACCUAGGAUGAGACUGGGUAUGUGUACUAGUCUGUACAGUGACCAGGCUAAUGUAACAGAUGUUAAAUCAAGACAAAGACAGGCAAGUAAAUAAUUUAUUUCACACGUGUAUUUUUUUAUUUAAAUCAGUUGAGCUCUUUACAGAGUUAACCCAUAAGUGCCAGAAGACUUGCCAUUUCCUCAUCCCCAGACUCUUCUUUACCCUUCGCUCACAGGCCAUGUAGUGAAAGAGAACUAGAGGCCAUGCAUUGGGUCUCUCUAUGCUAUUACUGGGGUCCCAGGAAAUCCAAAAUGUUUCUGUUAUUUAUUGAUUUAGUAUUAGAGUGAGCUGGUAUCAAAAACCUUGUUUUACUUUAGAAUUGUUAAAGUACUUUUGAUUGCCACAGUGCUCUCAGCUGCAGCGAUGGAAGGGCUGAAUAGAAAUGUUACUAUAUCGUUGUGAAGUUGCAAUGCCAAUUAACUUGGGGAUACACCUUUUUUUCAAGUUUUCAAAAUGGUAAAUGCUAAGUGCUGUUCGGUAUCAACAAAGGCAGACUCAAGUAUCGUGGAGAAGUUAAUGGUAGGGAAGAACCUUGCAAACCUGUUAAUGUUGUGGUCACGAAUAUACCUGCUGUUAGUUAUAACAACAGCUUAUAACUAAUAUUUAGAAACAACACAAGAAAUAAGCUGUAAAACACUUUGUUUAACCCAUUAAGGACCAAUGACGGUUCAGGAAUGAAAUUAUAUAUACAUAUAUCUAUGUAUAUAUAAAUAAAUUAAAAUAACACGGAAUAUAUAUUUAUGUCCAUAUACAUAAAUAUUUUCAUAAAUAUAGACGUAGACGUCAAAUAUAUAAAUAUGUAUAUAUAUUUUAAUUAUACAUGCAUAUUUAUGUAAUAUUUUUACAUAAUUAAGUAAUUUUAUUGAUUGCCAUUUGAGAGACCUGCCUGACAACCCAGGCCGAAAGUCCAGAGAAUUUAAUUUGCUAGCGCUGUAUUUAACCCUGUAACUGUCCAUGACACCUUAAAACCUGUACAUGGGGGGUACCGUUUUACUCGAGACACUUCGCUAAACACAAAUAUUCAAAACAGUAAAACAUAUGACAGCGAUGAUAUUGUCAGUGAAAUUGUUUUGCAUUUUUCACACACACACAGCACUUUCACUGAUAAUAUCAUUGUUGUGAUAUGUUUUACUGUUUUGAAACACUAAUAUUUGGGUUAUAUAAGGCUUGAUUUUCCGUUUUUUUCAAUUUGCCAGGUUGGUUAUGUUGCCUUUGAGAGCGUAUGGUAGCCCAGGAAUGAGAAUUACCCCAAUGAUAGCAUACCAUUUGCAAAAGAAGACAACCCAAAGUAUUGCAAAUAAGGUAUGCCCAGUCUUUUUUAGUAGCCACUUAGUCACAAACACUGGCCAAAGUUAGCAUUUAUAAUUGUUUUUUGCAUUAUUUUUUUUAAAUAAUUCUUUUUGGUUCAAGUUGGCAAAUGACAGGCACAGGUACUUUGCCACGAUAGUGUAAUCAGGCAUGGACAUAACACGUAACAGAAUAACAGUAUUCAGGCAUGACAGACAAUUAUCUUGCACAUUUUUAUCUUUUUUUAAAACUUAUUGGCCUGUUCAGUUAUAGAGAUUUGGUUACACUUGGGAUAACUCCACUUUGCUAAUUAAGAUGUAGCGGCUUUGCUUGUUAGAGGUGGUUGUCAGGCUCUGAGCUCAUGGUUGCAUGCGGGGUUGAUUGUGAUGCGGGCGGUGGUGUUUGUGUGUGGGUUGUGUGAGUAACUCAUUGGGCUUGAAGAGUCGUGGUAAAGCUUUCAUUAAAGGCCCAUAGUCUGUUCUGCAGGUUAUCUACGGGGAUAGAGUUGCAUGAGGUCACUUGGUGACUGUGAUGCAGUCUUCUAGCAGAGGAGAUAUAGCUUCUGGAGGUGUCUAGAGUUACUCCUAGAUUGAUUGCCUCUUUGGGGAGUUAGUGACCGGGCUAUAUGAUAAGAGCUAGUGUGGUGUGGGGUCUGGGGUUAGCCCUAGUUAAGUGUUUUUUGCAUUUUUAACACACAAACAAAUAUAAAUGCUAACUUUGGCCAGUGUUUUUGACUAAGUGGCUACUAAAAAUACUGGACAUACCCCUAAAUUGAAUACCCUGGGUUGUCUACUUUAAAAAAAUAUGUACAUGUGAGGUGUGAUUCAGAGAUGUAUGACAGAUAACAGUGUUACAAUGUCACUAUUGAUACAUUUUAGAAAAAUAUAUUUUGAAACAACAAUGUCCUACUUGUACUUAUAGCCCUGUAAUUUGCACAAAAAAAAUAUGUAAACACUGGAUGUUUUUAAACUCAGGACAAAAUUUUUAAUCUAUUUAGCAGUUUUUUUAGAUAAGUAAAGGAUUUUUUUAUGUUAAUUUUUUUCACAUUUUCACCAUAUUUUAUUAUUUUUUAAACAUAAAUUAUAUGACAUGAUACAAAUAGUGGUAUGUAAAGAAAGCCCUUCUAGUCCUGAAAAAAAAAACAAUAUAUAAUUUAUAUGGGAACAUUAAAUGAGAGAGAGGAAAAUUACAUCUAAACACAAACACCACAAAAGUGUUAAAACAGCCCUGGUCCUUAACGUACAACAUGGCCAAAACAGUCUGGUCGUUAAAGGGUUAAUGACAUACUGGAUAGAGGUGCAUCUACAGAAAAUCCCUUUCAUGACAUUCUGUGUGGUAAGUAUGCAUACAAUUCUUCUUCAUAUAAUAGGAAGUUCCUUUUGAAAAUUUGAGAUUAGAAAUGUGUUAAAACUGCGCAUCUGAACCCAGUGCAUUGAUUUAAGUUUAUAUUGAUAUCAGUUUACUGCUAACUAUAACUUCCCAGGAUUAUAAAUAUUAUGAUUUCUUAUAGCUAUAUUAAGCAAAUGAAUAUUUGUAAUGUUCAAAAUGCUUGUCUGACUUUACCUUGACUGAUAGUGAUGUCCCGAACUGUUCGCCGAACGGUUCGCGAACGGUUCGCCGCGGACUCAUCAUUGAGUAAACUUUGACCCUGUACCUUACAGUCAGCAGACACAUUCCAGCCAAUCAGCAGCAGACCCUCCCUCCCAGACCCUCUCACCUCCUGGACAGCAUCCAUUGUGAAGCUGCAUUCUUAGUGAGCUGUCCAGGAGGUGGGAGGGUCUGGGAGGGAGGGUCUGCUGCUGAUUGGCUGGAAUGUGUCUGCUGACUGUGCGGUACAGGGUCACAGUUUACUCAAAGAUGAGUCCGUGGCGAACCGUUCGCGAACUGUUCGGCGAACAGUUAGGGACAUCACUAUUGACUGAUCUUACUUGUGAUAUCAUUUGUUAAAUCUUUAAUAUAAAUUUAAAAGAAAACAGAGCAUGAUAUGUAAAAAGGUGUAAAAGUUAUAGCUGUUUCUCAUGUAUUUAUUCACUAGUGUAAUUUCCAUAAAAUUGGCAGUUAACAGUUCCCUUUAAAGUGCAUUUUGUUUUAAAGCCUAUUUUUUUUUUUUCUUGACAUGUUUGGGGGUAUAGUGAUUUAUGCUUUUUUGAAUAUGUGCAGUGUAUUCCAUAUUAUGAGAGUGCCUUGCAUUAACUAUUAGGGAUCUGCUGAUAUAAUUUAUCCAGAGCCAAAGCCGAUACCAAUUAUCGGUCACCUUUCGGGUCGAUUGCCAAUAACUAGUACAAUUUUCUGUAUAUUUAAAGUUUUGAAAAAGAAACACAAUUUAUACACAAAUUUGGCAUUAACUGAACAUGCUGACAGCAAUAACACUCUUAUCACUCUCAGGCAGCCGGUACAUGCUGUGAUCAGUGAGAUCCCAUCAUGUACAGUGCUGUUACUGACAGGAGUUGAUUGCUAACAGCAAUCACACUCCUAUUACUCUCAGUCAGCCAGCCCAAUACAUUAUAGUAGAGUAUUCACUGUCUCAGGUCCCUGCCUCCAGAAAGGGGUGACAUGAGGUCACGACGUGGUGCUUCAUUGGGUGGCAGCUAGAGUUUUCAGAUACAGAAGAUAGCAUAAAGUAACUGAGUAAAUUAUCUUUAACAUCAGUAAAUUACAAGGCCAAUACAGAUUAUCGGUAAAAUGCUGAAAAUCAGCUCUGAUAAUUGACGGAACCGAAAAUUGUCUAUCCCUAUUAACUAUGUCUACAAAUUUAAGGUUAGAAUUUACCUUUUGAGUUUAUUGGGCACGGUUCGUGAAGGAUCUGCCUGAUGGGCAGGCUAGAUGGGCCGAAUGGUUCUUAUCUGCCGUCUAUUUUUCUAUGUUUCUAUGUGUACGUCUAUCCUCAUGACCAGUGGUGGAUCUACCACUGGUGCAGCUUUUAUACCGCUUUGGGGCCCACUAGCUUGUGGUUGGUCUUCACACUUAGGCCAACAGAUUGGCAACUCCGUUCAGGGGUCCACACACAGGAAUGGAAAUGAGGAGAAGGCAGAGGGAGGAAGGAAAGAGCUUGUACCAACCCCAGACUACCAUAAGGUUGCACAAGUCUAUACAAAUGCACACCUGCAUUCAAAUACCAGCUAUACAUAUAAACACAUUUCAAUAUUCAACCACCAAUAAUACAUACAAACAUAUUUCUGUAUUCCAAUGCCAACACCCGGAAACAGCAAAUACUAUAAAGCUCCUAGAAAAGAUGAACAUUCUAUUUAAAGAAGAGCCAAGAGAUUUGGGCUCAAAAAGGGACUGUCCCUCUUAAAUAGGGUUACUUGGGAGGUAUGGGACUGUGAUAAGCUUGUGUGCUCCAUCCCCUAACAGAUGGUUGCCAAAAAAUUCACCUCUUGGUCACACAACAGCGGCAGAGAUUAAGCCAAUAGCAGCGGAGGGAGUGAUUUAGUAGAUUCUGAUAGUGGCCUCAUAUAUGCCAAAAUAUUAGAAAAUUCUCCAGUUAAUAGAAUCAAGGCUGCUAUAGCGUUAAACAAACUGUCUUUCAUUAAGAAAAGGCUGACAGUUUAUAUACAGUCCAGAAAGUGGAUCUUUGUGAUAGUGUCAUACGGGUUUACAACUCAGGCAAGUCACAAAAAUGAUACGCAGGGAGAGAGAGUGACAGCACAGCACAAUAUUUUUUUUCAUAAAAUUUCCUCUUCAAAAUCCCACUGAGUCUCGUGGAUGAUCAAAUUAUCUGGGGCUCAGUGUAUUCCUGCAGUACAGUACAGAGUCAUUGGCUUUCCCAGUGCGGCCUGCAGGAAAUCGCUCUGUGGAACUGAGUAUUUAUAAUCAUACUGUAUUUUAAGGAACACACAUGGAGGUUAAUUAAUAUCUUGGAGACAAUGCUUUUUUUUCCGUGCAAUCUAGCACCACCAUAUAACAUGGAAUGAAUUCUCUAGAGAAAUACAUAGUAUAGAAAAAAGGGAAAGGGUUAAAUGGUUGAAAUGACAUGUUUCCUUGGGUUAUAGACAAUUUUUAUGAAUUGGCAGAGGGUCUCCUUCUUGGAGGAGUCAGGAGAAUUAGAGUGAGUCUUAGGGCUAUGGGGUUAGGAUUAGUGAGAGAGUGAGGCUCUGGGUAAUAAAAUUCACAAUAUAAAGAACUCUCCUCUUACAGCUUUCAUAUCCAUUUAUUUCAUUCUACAGAUGGCAUCCAGAUUGCCUUCUAUUUUCCUUCCUUCACACUGACCUCUCCAGCCCCGUACCAUCACAUUUCCUACAAAUGAAAGCAUCCAAAACUCAAGUGCUUCUUUUCACUGCACCAUGUCAAUUACCUUUCCUUUCUAUCCCCUACUGUUCCUUUCCCUCCUCUCACUAACUCACCUUAAGCUCUCAUCCUAAUGUAGUGUCAUCUUUGAUACAUUUCUCUUCUUUAACAAAUCAUAUGCUCCUUCACUUCUAUUUACCACUUUCUGAUACCUGAAAAAUAAAAUCUGUUCACCACUAUCUUCACUGUAUAUCGCGUUCUGCACUCAUGCGCCUUAAGGAGAGACCUGUGCACUUUUUUGUGCUUUCAGUUAAAACACUUAUUUCCUUAACUUUUAUCAUAAUGAGUACAUUGUUUUUCUCCAUAUGCCCAUCAUCGCCAUCCCUUCUAUUCUACAGCAUAUCCAUUUUUGAAGCAAUAGUACAUUUGUGAGAGAUGUGAUCUUCAGCAUUGAGAGUACAAGCACAUACAUCUAAUGCACAGCAAAUGACUUCAUUCAUGAAAAAGCAUGAAUGAGCUACAUACAAAACUAAUAUGCAACAUGCGGACCAAACACCUACAUUUCUGUGUACACUGGACUUUUAUGUCAUUUAUUAUUAUUAGCAUUUAUAAAUGACCAACAUCUUCCACAGUGCUUUACAAUUAUAGAAAGGGGAUAUAUGAAGGCCAUGCUCAAACAAGUUUGCAAGCUAUGAGGCAGGCAGAUAUAUAUCAUUAGGUGUCUUCUCCAAGGACCCUUACUGGUGAGGUCUGACUGAGGAUUUAAAUCUGAGUUUCCCAGUUCUAAGGUAGUGACAAUACCACAGUUCUAACCAGCCGAUUGUUUGAGCGCAGGAUUCAUUGCUUCCUUUUCUUGCAUGCCUAAAUUGUUUGUCAUAAAUUACUACGUUCUCUUUACCCAUUAUAGGAGCAAUCUCAUAUUGUGUCAAGUAAAAUCAUUUGCUUCUCAUAGACUUUACAUAGGACAGAUCGAUGUCUAUUAAAUUACAGGGUAUUAAAAAUAUACCCUGCUUGCUGUACAUGCUGAAUUCUAAGACCCCAGUUUUAAUAUAAUGAGCAGGGACAGGGAACAGAAUGACUCAUGUAUUAAUGACUGAAGAUGUGCAGGCUCUUAGCAAAGUGACAUCAGCAACAUUUAAUGUACAAGACAUAGAUGUCACUGAGGUAACCAAAGGAGAAGCUUGCAUUUUAACCCUUUUUUAUAGUGAAUGAUUAAAACAACAUAAGCAAGUGUGCUUUCAGAGCUACAAUUGAUAACUAUCGGGGUUAUUUACACUGCAUUGAGAAUUCAAAGGGAAUUUCAAAUUUAAGGCCAGAGUAGCCGAAAUGAAAGCAUAGCUAAUUUUGAAAAUGUAUCCAGUUUGGCUUUCUUGACCUUAAAUGUUAAAUUCAGUUUGAAUUCUCACUUUAGUAAAAAUAACCCUUUAAACAUCUUCUAAUCAUGCAGUAGACGCUGUCAGGAAAAAGGAAACCUCGGGAUCUCAAGCAGACUAAUCAUGACAUUUCACACAUGUAAUAUGUCCUUAAGGGGUUAAACAGCUUCUUGGCUACUAAUUUUAGAUAAGCUGAAAUGAAUUAGAAAAAAAACCCCAUUCUUAUUUUUGAAACUUGCAAUCAAUGGUAAAUGUCAUUGUUCUUCUGGUGCACCUUCUAUCUUUCCAUGUAAUCCCUGAAGUUCUUUCUGAUCUGCACGGAGGCCCAGUAACAAUGCUGCACUUUUUGUAUCAUUCUCUGCAUGUUGGAUACAGUAUAAUUCAUUGUGCGGAGCGGCUGACAGGAAUACAUAAUGUCGGCCUCACAAGGCUUGAUAUUGAGCGGUGUAUGGAUGGAAAUGAUUGAAACUGCAUCCCUUUAAUUAAAUAAAAAGAUUUCUUUUAAUGGGCCUCUAGUCCACUGACUUAUAACCAAUUCGACUUUUCAGUGCUGUCAUUGUAUUGUGGAGGGCUGCUUUAUUUCCGCUAUUGUUUUUAUUUUCUAUGGUUAUUUUUUCUCCCUUUUCUUGAAUUAGACAUGUGCUGAAGACAGUAAUUUCAGAAAAUUUUACCUUUUAUCUAUCUCUAUUGGUUAUGCGCCCCUCCUUUCUCAAUUUUCUCUCAUCCUAAUUCAUUCUCCCUCCCAGCGGUUCACCCUAGUUAUAUCAUGAGAGGACCUGUCUAUUUCCAACGCUGCUUUCUCCUGUCACCACUGCAGCUUGCCUUCGCUCAGUAUUUUAUUCAUUGGCCAUUCCAGCUAGUUGCUUGUGAUGGUUUCCCAGAAUUUGUUUGUGCUCUAUCCUACCAUAUUCUGUGUUUGCAGGCCAGGGAUUACUUCUGUUUUAUUACACGUUCCUAAAUGCCCCUGUAGCAGGAUGGGGCACCUCUUCUGACCCAUUUGUCAUAUAGGAAAUACACUCUUAGAUUUGCUGCUGUUGUAAAAGCCAUUAGCAGCAUAUUUUGUUUAUUAUGGGGGGUGAGGGGAGGGAGAGAGAGAGGGGGGGAGAGAGGAAGAUGGAGAGGGAGAGAGCGAGUGAGCGUGCGUGCGUGCGUGCGUGUGUGUGUUUUCAGUUACCUUUUCAUACCUGUUUCACCUUGUAGUGAUGGAAAAUUAAUCUGCAUGCAGUUUAGCAGCAUGGCAUACAUAAAGUUCAGGUUUACCGGGAGAUUAACCGUACUAGAGUGCUCUGUCUGCCUAACAGCUGCAAUGACUUCUUUAGAUUUUUUUCACACUAUCCAUCUCUGUAUACUAUGUGCACCUGGCAGCAGUGGGAUGUAUUUACAAUAUAACUACAGGGUACUAAUUUGUUUACAUCAUGGUCUAGUUGACCCUGCCAUAUAUACACAAUGGUUCAAAAUAACUAAUUAUUACUGGUAUUGGUGUACAAUGCACAGUAGGGUCCACUGUACACUCGGCAUCAGAAACAUGCCUUUGAUCUUGUAUGGAACUUGUAUCACUAUAACCACAAAUUAUAUUGUAGUCUAGACGGGGCCAAAGCUAAUUGUGAAUAGACAAUGUGUGUUUGUUUUUGUAUUUUUUUUGUGUCAUUAAUUGUAAAAACAUUUUUACAAAAUUUUUUAUUUUAAUUAGAGGAAAACCUUAUAUCAUUUUACUUCCAUCCUGUGUUCUAGUGUUUGGUUUUUGGGCUAUGUGAACAUCAAAGUGGUGCAAACAUGGAAACGGGUGUCUCUGGUUUCCAUGGUGAGAUGCCCAUUUUUUUUAGAACAGAACACUUUCAUAAAUCUGCUCCAUAUAAUGUCAGUUAUUGCCUAUCACAAGCAGCACAUUAAGACAAAAUGAAUGCAUAUAUCCUACAGUUUAUAAGAUUAGGAAUAGUCUCCCGACUACAUGGAGUCUACCAUGACAAUUUAUACAUGCCAAGGAUUAUAUAGAGCUAGUUCUGACCUAUCAUCCCUUUUUGCAUUGUUUUGUGUUAGGGGUAUGUCCUUUGUCUGUAAACCAUGUAUAGCAUAGAAUUCACCAGCAGCACCUAAAAACUCUAAGCAAUCCAGUGUGGGAAAAAAAUCAUAAACAUCAUCCUGAAUUCUUUAUCUGAGUUUAGGAAACAUAUAUCACCGCCCAGGGAUACAGACAUCGUUCUAGAAGGGGAGGUACAAAUGUAUCAUUCCUUCACUUUACACUCUGCAUUAAAUGAGUAAUAGCUGUAUUGCAUUAAAAAGGCGCAAUACAUCGCCAAGAUAAAGAACUAGAGGUCAGCAUUAAGGGCUGUCUGUCCUCCUCCCCUUCCUGAAAUAAACAGCGACAUUGGAUCUUUUAAUCAGAGCUCUGAUGAGCCAUGCAGCGUUGGGGAGAUUGCAUUACAUGGGUGUAUGUUCUAGUCACUGCCUCUUCUGUGCUUUGCCUGCAAGUUUGUCUUUCCUAUUACAGACAGACUGCCUUGCAAAUCUCAUUGCCUUAAUGCCAGACUAUUAAGGACGGAACAGUCCAGUCCUGUACACGAGUUAAAGCAGAUAUAAAUAACGGAAGCACAUAGCUGAGAAAUAUUAAAGCCUUAUGUGUACUAUGUAUUUUGUUACUGGUGGAUUCACACUGUUGUUCCUACUUGUUUUGUUGGAUGUACUAUGUCUUAGGUUUUUGUUUUUUUGUGAUGAAUUAUUGUGAAUGUGUACAUUUACACCUAUACUGAUUUAUUGUGUAGACAAAACAUUGUCCUUUGGUUUCCCCCUAGAGCUAAAUAAAUAAAUUAAACCCACAAGUGGGGCAAGCACCAAAUUGAAAAAUGGAGUAAGAGCCAAACAAUAUGGAUAACUUAAUUCAAUAAAAAAUAAGCAUAAUGAAUAAAGAAUAUAAUUUAUUAUUGAAACCGCAAUCUCGUUGCUUAUUACAGCAUAAAUAAAUACUCUGUAGUUGUGCUGUAUUCAUUAGAGCUCUGCAUCAACAGAACAUCAGUCAUUAAAGGGUAUGUCAUUCGAGUGCAGAAUACAGAAGUGUUCUCUGUGCUUUAAGCUCAUUUUAUAUGAUCUCAGCAUCUUAUUGCAGUAUAGCUGCAAACAUCGUGGACGUGUUUAAAACUAAACCCAAAUAUUCAUCUCUGUAGUGGGAAUGAUGGCAGUUAUAGCCCACAUCAUUUUGCAAGUAUAUGAAAUUAUAUUCACACAUAUGUAUGAUAUCUAGUUUAUACCUAUACCUUAAAUUGCAAGAAUAUAAGUUUAUAUCCAACAACAUACAGAGAGAUACAGAGAGUAUUCGCUAAAGUGAAAAUUGAAGUGAAUUCAACAUUUUACGCUAAAGAAGUCAAACUGAAAGCAUACCUGACAUUUUUUUUUUAAAUUUGGCUAUUUUGGCCUUAAAUUUGAAGUAAUUUUGAAUUCACUCCGAAUUCUCACUUGGUAAAUAAUCCUGCUAGCAGUGUACACUCACGCGAUUCUGAGCCAUCUGUUGCUCAGUACAGUGCCAGAUCUUAGUUUCCAAUGACUCACUUUUUCUGACUGGCUGAGAGUGUCAGCUGACUGCUUUCAGCCUAUCACAGCACUCAUUGCUAAAAAGGAAUCCUCAUUCAAUGUUGAACUGCUCAAAAAUGGAUUAACGUUCAAUGCCAGGUUCAAUGAGAAUAGUUAUAGUGCCCCUUUCAUUACCCUCAACAUACUUAUUCAUACAGUUAUUGGGAUUGAAGACCUUUUUAAAAUUAGUUGAAAUUUGGUAGUUGCAUAUACCCCUUUUCUUCAUCAUUUCAAUAUGCUCUUAUAAUGUGUAUUUCAGUUAUAUGAAAUACCCUGGCACCCAAAGUAUGUUAGAAAGCACACCACAGGGGUGAAUGGGAAAAAGGUUAGGGCUAAAAAUGAGUGCACUCCGGUUCCCUAUUACAUUUAAAGUUAUUUUUAUUUUGCUAUUAUUUUUUGAAAUCUUAUUUUAAUUAAAUUUACAUAUUAAAUAUUUAUUUUGAUAUAUAUUUUUUAUGUGUAACAAUUUUGUUAAAGGUAUAAGAGAAAAGCCAGAUGGACAGAAUUAGCACAUAAUUGUUAAAAAUGUGAACAUUUGAUGUAUGUAAAAGCUUUUAUAUGCAUGGAUAUCUACAACAAUCCUUGCAAACAUAACAAUAACAAAGUAUUUAAGCUGGUGAGAGUUGUAGAACAGUUAGACAAGAAGAAACUAUGUUCGAGUUUCAAAUAAUAGUAGUUACAAUGGAACAGCUGUGCGGGCAAGAAAAUAGGGUAGUGUGCUACCGAUUUACUAAGAAAGGGAGAGAAAAAGAAGGUGGGGGGGGGGGAGAAAUCACAAAAAAAUGUGCCAUAUUGGCAAUUAAUACAUUUAGAAAUCCAGGACUGUUUGUUUUGUACACUGGUCUUGGAGGCACCAGGGUAGACAAUGAUCAGGAUCUUCCUUGCAGGAACAUGUUAUCAUUUAUACAGGAAGGUGCUUAUCAACUGCUCCCAUCUACUUCUAAAACCAACUACCAAACCCAAGCAGGGAGGUGGUGUAGGUGAUGAAGCUCCUGUACCCAGACUGAGUACCUCCACCCAUUAAGCUUCCUAGCCACUUGCAGGGACCCUGGAACACUUCAGCCCCAGUCGCUGCAGCUUCACUGGGGUCCUUCUGGAGCUUUUCCACCAAACCAGGCUGCAGCUUUUCUUCCAGACAGGUAUUGUCCUCUCUGCCUCUUCCGCUGCAGCCCUCCUUCCAGGCAGGUAUCCACAUCUGCUGGCAAUGUUAUAACUCUUGUCUUUAAUAAGACACUUGCUGCUCUCCGGCCUAGCUCCCUUGCAUUAUCCCAGGGUUAGAGGCAUCCUGCAAACCAGGCUAAAGACUCUGUAACUGAGAUCCAUGCACAUUCAAAAAGGAACUUACCUACAAAACUUAAAUUUUCUUCUGACUAGCCCAUAUGAUUAUUACAUCAAGAUUGCUGUGACAACUCAAUAAAAAUACAAACAGUCAAAUCACAUUAGACAACAUACAGGAACUUAUAAUAACAUAACGACAUAUUUAUAAAAGGGUGGGAAAGAUAAUAAUUAACAUAAAACAUCUCUCCUGCCUGCAGAAAUAGCAAUAUGCAAAUCUGUCUGAAUAUGCAAAUGAACCUGCCUUACUAUAUAAGUAGUGCAUAUUGCUGUUGCUACCAACAGAGGGCACUACUCAGGCUCCAUAGUCAAAUCCACCUAGUUGGUAGCAAUCCUCAGCAGUACAGGAGAGAAGGCAAAACAUUUAACAAUAUGCACACACACGCAUUAUAAACAAUUACACACACACCCUGCACAUAUAAUGGGUACAGGGUGACUAAAACAUAAGAAAAGUUCAGCAACCUACAUAAAUAGUCUGUCUGAAGAUCCAGCUGAUGGUGACUACCGUCACAGUGUACAUCUUGGGGGAACUGCACAAAUAUAAAAGAGGCAUACAACAAAUAUAUUUCAGGGGGCAAAGUUGGCGGUGCAGACAUAACUGAAAGCAGUUGGGGAGCAAAUAGAAAUUAGGAACACAAUUAUACAAAAUAUAAAGGAAAUUUUGUGCUAUUAUAGAUUGUCCGAAUGCACAGUUCAAUCCUUCAGUACAACACCUGGCUGUUGGUAACAUUCUAUUGAGAACAGAUAGACGUAAGAGGGAAAAGACUGAAAGUAAAAAGUUAAGAAGUAUUUUAAUGAAUCUAGGCAUAUAUACUUUCUAAUCUUAACGAUCUUUUUAUGUUUUUGCUAUCUUCUGGCAUACACUAAAAAGUAACUCUUAAAAUGUUUCAAUAAACCAGUUUUUUUUUCCUCGUAUAUAAUGUGAAUACCCAGGAAUCUGUGGGAUACCCAGGAUUAUUCAGAUUAUUUCUCACUUAACAAGCAGCAAUAUCUCAUAAAUUUCUUAUAAUAUCUUCACGAUGCCUGCUCCGAGCCAUCCUGUUUUAGAAACUUUGCUCUUAUUUAAAAGAUCACGUACAUCACAAGGCUUGCUAGCAGGCACACUGUAUAUAUUUUAAAGGCACUUCAACUUCAAUUUUUUUUUUAUUACAUUUCCAAUUUAGACCUUAUUUGUUGCCCCAGAAUCACAACAGCGCCACUAAUAAAAAAAUAAAAAAAACUUGAAAUCUCUGCUGUAUUGGGAAUAUCAUUUUAUAUCAUCAGGUUUUUUUUGUUUUGUUUUUUUACGAGUCGCUUAGUUAAAUAGGCAACCAAUUCCCACAGCGGAUACUGACCAAAAUGAGUCUUUUGGGAGCAAACACCUAGAUUAAUUGUAAAUACAAGAGGAGGUCUCCAGAUAAUCUCUCACUGUCAAUGCGAUGGCGUUUUGAAAGCCAGACAAACAUUAUACAGUAUACUGCAUCAGGUCUGUUUUCAGAGAGGGUGGGGGGAACGGAUAAAUCAUACUAUGAAGGGUCCACAUAGAAAAUAGCAAAACAGCAAAUAAUAGUGGAGUUUAAAGGGCAGCAAAAUAAUGAUAAAGGGGAAAUCAAACCUGUCAGGCUCUUCCUUUGUGCAGUGAAAAGUACUCAUUUUCAAGCCAUCCCCUUCAUUGUUACAUUUCUCAUAGGCACCUCUAGUGACGAGCAACAGUUAUCAUUUGUACCCAUAAUGGGCAGCAGUGUGCUGUCACAGUAAGUUAAAGUAUUAGACUGUACAGAGAAACAGCAGGGCUGGCCAUUCUAAGCUUUGCUUUUUGUGCUGUUGGAACAAAUGAGGCCAUUCUCAACCUUUUACUCUUGUUGCUCUAAACACAAAACUGCAUCUAUAUUAACGGCACCAGGUUUACUGAAAGAAUGGAUUGUGAUAUUGCUGUCAGAAGAAAUUGUCUUUAAUAUCUUUCUGUUUCAUGUUUUGUAUAACAGAAGUGUUUUCACAUAUAAUAUUGGAGUGAUUUGGCGUGUUUACUUAUGUAUAUAUAUACAUAUUCACACAUAUACAGAAAAUGAAUAGAAAAUAAGAAUCAUUUGUUUGUAUAGUGGGAAAAUAAACACACGUAUUGGGAUUUUUUUUUAAUGAAUAUUUAUAUAAUUAGGGUACAGUGACGGAAGUAAAUUAAUAAGUCAGGCUUUAACAGAUGCUGGUGAUAAACGAAUAAGAAACUUGCAUUCCCUCCCCCCCUCCCUCUUGUUUGGGAUUGAGAAUAAUACAUUUUUGUGUCCAACAAGAGAAUGUUAUGCAAAAAAUGAGAGCGAAAAUGUUGCCUAUGUAUGUCCAGUAAAAUGUCCACUGUAUUCAGAGAGCCUCGUCCUGCAAUAUAUGCAGCAGAAGUAAGAAACACACGAGGCCAGAAUGUUGUUGGAGUAUUGUUGCAAAUUACAUGGCGGUAUCUUGUUCUCAAAUAUCAGUAUUGGCCAUAGAGAUCAAGUAUAUAUAGGAGCAAAAGUAUCAUCAAUACUAUAGCUCUGUAUAAAGAUUAGACAGCCUGCUUAGAGUAACUGCCAUCACAUGAGAGUUUGUAGGAGGUAAAAUUAUGUACAGAGAGUGUAUGAGAAAUAAUAAGAAUUAAGGUAAUAAUUGGUCACCCAUUUAGUAAAUCUUGUAAGUGUUUUGAGGUAUUAUAAGUGAAGGUUGUAUGUUUGUCUAUUUUGCUUGACUCUUUUGUGUUAGGAUUUUAAAACAGCUCUGUGACUUUGCAGGUUUUAUUUUUAAAUUAAUCCUUUUUGUUCCUCUUUUUCCCCUUGUUUUUAUUUUUUGAAAUUCACCUUAAAGGACAACACAUGUUUUUUGUCCCAAAUUUCUCAUAUAUUUUAAGAAUUAAAUAUAAGAAACAAAGAAAAGAACAGAUUUAACACCAGGGAGAGAAGCGGGAAAUUAAGGAAAGGUAUGUUUCAGGUGACAGGGCCACUGUAACUAAUUAGGUAUGUGAAUUUAUAUUAUGUUACUCAAUAGGUAAGGCAUUUCUCUGUUUCCUUUUUCUAAUCUGAAAAAAGGCCCAGAAACGGGUCUGGAAACUUAAAAUGAGGUGGUUGGAGGUGAAUCAACUAUGUUGACAUAACAUAGCAAGAAUAGAACAAAUCUAGCCUGUUGGGGUUAGAAUUAUGAGAUAGAUGCUAUAAAGCUAAGUAAUAAGUGAAUACAUCGAUAAUCAUAAAGAAUAUAUGACAUGUCAUAUAGCACAUUUUAAAUCUACACAUUCCAAACUCUCAUAUUGCAGUGUUCUAGAUACACAUCAGUAGUCUGCACACUGCAAUCACUCAUACAUGUAGACUUAUUCACAUCCUAGUCUAAUCCCCCAUUUACAAGGGGCAAACUCAUGCAUAUACUGUGGAACUCAUAAGACUCAUUCUGCAUCAGUUAUUUCAGAUUUGAAAGACAAUUUUUUAAAUUCUUCAUAUAAAACACUAAUUAGAGAUUUGUACAAAGACAAACCCAUCAUGGCUUAUAAAAGAUCAAAAACCUUCAAAGGAUAUUCAUCCAACCAUAUAGAAAACCUAUGCAUUCAAGUACGUGUGCCUCCUCACACACCACUAAUUUGGAAGGAUAUUUCUUCAGACAAAUGGGUUGUAAAGAUUUUUCAAAGGGGUUUACAAUUCCCCCUUUUAAGGUUCCCAGUUCAGAGGUUUGCAACCAGCAGAGAGGUCAACCAAUUGCUAGAUGCCUCCUUUUCUCUAGCAUUAAAUCAAGGGAAGAUAGAGUUGGCAUACAUGUUCAUCACAGGAUCGGUGAGUCUGUUGUUCCCCAUCCUAAAAUCAAAUGGUUCCUUGAGACUGGUUCUAAAUAUGAGGUCUCUGAACGCUUUUAUCAAGAGACUGUUCAGGAUGGAGUGUUUAUCAAAUCUUCCAGGCUUAGAACAGAACAUUUUGUUUGCAUGAAGUUAGAUCUAAAAGAUGCCUUCCAUUCAUUCCCUAUAGCCAAGAAACACAGGCUUCUGUGGAAAGGAAAGGUUUGGCAGCGGACUGUUAUGGUGUUUGGCCUCUCCAAUGCACCAUACACAUUCUCCAGAAUAAUUAAAUCAGUUAAAGCCCAUGUCAGACUGAGAGGUUGCAUGUGUCUGUACUUUCUAGACGACAUCCUGCUAAUGUAUCCAGAUGGGGAAGUUCUUGCUUCUCCGGGGGACUAUCUUACUUCCUUUUUACAAAAACUAGGAUUUGUAGUGGAUUUACAGAAAUUAGUCCUAAUUCCCACUUAAAGCAUUCUUUAUCUGGGUUUUGUACUGAACACCGGGACUAUGUCACAAGGAGUCAGGACAAAUGGGACAAAUUAUUGAUACAUCUGGCCUCAUCUCACCAGGGUUAGUUUUUGCAGUAGAAGUCUUCUGUUUUUAGGGGAUUGAUUAAAACAGGGUGGCCAUUUUGAAUCACAAUUAUUUCUCCCCAAGAAGGUCAGAGAAGAGUUAAAGUAUAUUCUGAGGUUAGGAAUCCCUCUUCUUUGUCCCUUGUUAAAACAGCCAUUUGCUGUUACUCUGACGUCAGAUGCCUCAAAUCAUGGUCAGGGUGCAUUUACAGCACAAAAAGCGGUAAGAUGAAUUUGGUCAGACCAAGAGAGACUCCUUCAUAUAAACAUCUUGGAGUAAGAACAAUACAAUUUUCUCUCAAGGACCAGGUGUUGGUAAAAAUCCAAUUGGACAACAGGACAGUGGUGGCUUAUAUUAGCCAAGAGGGGGCACAAGAUCAAGGGUUCUUUGUUUGGAUGCUCUAGAUCUUUGGUCUUGGGCUUUAGCAAACAAACUUUGGGUUAUUGCAGAAUACGUUGCAUGAGAGGCGAACAAGCUCCCAGAUUCUCUCUCUCUCCAUUGUUUGUCUCUGGCAAUGGUUCAUUUAAAGAUUGCUCUAUUCCAAUGAAUAGAUUUCAGCCACAGACAAGUAGAUAUGUUUGCAUCCCAAACUUCUGCACAUACUCCCAGGUUUGUCUCCAGGAUUUAGACAAAGGGAGCUUGGAAAAUGGAUGCAAUAUCUUUUCAAUGGACAGAUGUUCCAGCCCCUUAUGCUUUUCCCCCUCCAUCUUUACUGAUAAGAGUACUGGAGAAGAUCCACAGGGACAAGGUACAGAGUUUAGUUCUCAUUUACCCAGUAUCAACCUCCAGAUCCUCGUACACCUUAAUCCAUCAGUAAGUCAAGGGAACCAAGAUUCCAUUGGGCUUGACUGUGGACUGCUUUCACGGAACCAGCAAUCUUUUGCUCUAGCUUCCGCAGCUGAUGUGGAUUGCAGCCUUAGUAGGCUGUAAACACAUCCCCUUUUAUCAGAUCAGGGCUUGGACAUCAUUAAUUCAUAUUUUAGAAGCAUAACUAGGGUAAGGUAUUGAAAGAUGAUUGAGGAAUUCAAAGAUUUCUUUUCUAUCUUCUUUUUAUGGGUCUGACACCAUUCCAUUGGCUUUAGAAUUUCUUACCCUUAAGUUCCAUUCUGGUUUAGUGGUCAGUAGCCAUUAAGGCCUAUGGGUCUUACAUUUUCUUAUCCCUAACCUUACUCAAAAUGCCCUGUAUUUGAGAUUACUAGAAGGAUUAUCAGUCUGCCGCCCAUUAACUUCACGUUAUACAUCUACUUGGGAUGUAGAUCUUUUAUUAAAUGCCCUUAAUUCCUUGCAUUAUGCUAAGAUUGAUUUAAGCUGGACUGCUAUUAAGUUGGCUUUUCUGCUGUUUUGGCCUUGGCAGCUAGAGGAGCUGAGUUAACUCAAAUUUCUAUUUAGAACCGUGGUUAUUAUGGACCCCAGGAGGGUUCCAUAUUAUACUAAAAGGGAGACAAAAAACUUUCCAUAUUUCCCCAGGUCCGGUGGAAUUGGAUUUGGUUCAAGAUUCCUCUGAACCAGGCUAAUGUUUAGUCAGUCUCUUACAAUCUUACCUUGAUCUUUCUGCUGCUGUUAGAAAUUAUAUAAUACACUUAUUUAUUACAUCAAGGAAUUGCUUUCAUCCAAUACAAUUAGAGGUUGGAAUAGAGGUUUCUUAGGAUCAGGUGUGUGCUAUUCUACAAACUAGCUUGCUAGGUGUUUAUGCCUGACAAAUCAGAGUUUGCAGGAAUCUAUUAUCUAAUAUCCAAUAGCACUCAUCCCACCCUUCCCUAGUGUAAGGGUUUUGCCUGCUUGUGGUAGUUUGUUUUUCUUUCUAGAUGUUAAGGUUAUCUUGUGGUUUUCUUCAGCCUAUUUCUAACUGCUUUCUGUCUUUUACAGAUUAUAACCGUACUCCGAGACAAGACCAACAAACCAAGGACCUACCUAAGUAGGAAGAUUGGAUGCUAGUAGUAUCUGCAAUAUGGAAUUCUGUGCUCUUUGCAUAAAGAAUCUGCUGUCAGAGACGUGUUACAACAUUUCGUUUAUCUUUACAGAAGUUCUUUUCUUACCAUUUAUGAUGUUUCAG